rnacentral:rRNA from 1 species
CGCGUAUCCAACCUGCCCUUGUCCAUCGGAUAACCCGUCGAAAGGCGGCCUAACACGAUAUGCAGUCCGCAGAAGGCAUCUGACGCGGACGAAAUGUAAAGGAGAAGGAUGGGGAUGCGUCUGAUUAGCUUGUUGGCGGGGUAACGGCCCACCAAGGCGACGAUCAGUAGGGGUUCUGAGAGGAAGGUCCCCCACAUUGGAACUGAGACACGGUCCAA